AUGCAUUGGUCCGAAAGGCCUAUCGACUGGAGCCGGGCCGAUCACCCAGAGGUGAUGCCGUCCCCUGGCUCCUACGCAUUGGUGUUGGAUGUCACCCUCGCAACAGAGAGGCAGGCUGCCCGAUUCUCCCGCGUUCUGAUUGAUGGCGGAAGCAGUAUCAACAUACUGUACCGCGACACCAUGGAGAAGUUGAACCUCAAGGCGAAGCAGCUCAUGCCAAGCCGGACUGUUUUCCAUGGCAUCGUACCCGGCCUGUCCUAUUCCCCGAUCGGCAAGAUCAAGAUGGAUGUCCUCUUCGGAGACAAGGAUCACUUUUGCCGAGAAGCAAUCUGGUUCGAGGUAGUGGAUCUGGAAAGCCCUUACCACGCCUUGCUUGGCCGACCUGCUCUGGCCAAGUUCAUGGCUCUGCCCCACUACGCCUACCUGAAGAUGAAGAUGCCGAGGUCGAAGGGGAUCAUCACUGUAGCCGGCGACUACAAGAAGUCCAUCGAGUGCGCUGCAGCCAGCAGCCGGCUGGCCGAGUCCCUCGUAGUGGCGGAAGAGAAGAAGAUGCUGGAGCGAGUUGUGACCAUGGCCGGCAAGUAG
rnacentral:rRNA from 1 species